UACGGAGGGUGCGAGCGUUGUCCGGAAUCACUGGGCGUAAAGGGCGCGUAGGUGGCGCGGGCAGUCAACGGUGAAAGUUCGGGGCUCAACCCUGAAUCGGCCGUCGAUACUCCCGGGCUUGAGCACUGUAGAGGCAGAUGGAAUUCCGGGUGUAGCGGUGGAAUGCGUAGAGAUCCGGAAGAACACCGGUGGCGAAGGCGGCCUGCUGGGCAGUAGCUGACGCUGAGGCGCGACAGCGUGGGGAGCAAACAGG
rnacentral:rRNA from 1 species